CCUACGGGAGGCAGCAGUGAGGAAUAUUGGUCAAUGGGCGGAAGCCUGAACCAGCCAAGUAGCGUGCAGGAUGACGGCCCUACGGGUUGUAAACUGCUUUUAUACGGGAAUAACGCGCCUUACGUGUAGGGCUUUGCAUGUACCGUAUGAAUAAGGACCGGCUAAUUCCGUGACAGCAGCCGCGGUAAUACGGAAGGUCCGGGCGUUAUCCGGAUUUAUUGGGUUUAAAGGGAGCGUAGGCCGCAUGUCAAGCGUGCUGUGAAAUGUUCGGGCUCAACCCGGGCCUUGCAGCGCGAACUGGCGUGCUUGAGACCGCGGACAGCAGGCGGAAUUCGUCGUGUAGCGGUGAAAUGCUUAGAUAUGACGAAGAACCCCGAUUGCGAAUGCAGCUUGCUGCAGCGGAACUGACGCUGAUGCUCGAAAGCGCGGGUAUCGAACAGGAUUAGAUACCCGGGUAGUC
rnacentral:rRNA from 1 species